ACCCAAAUUUUUAUCCAGGUUGACCUCGGAUCAGGUAGGGAUACCCGCUGAACUUAAGCAUAUCAAUAAGCGGAGGAAAAGAACCAACAGGGAUGCCCCAGUAACGGCGAGUGAAGCGGAAGAGCU
rnacentral:rRNA from 1 species